rnacentral:rRNA from 1 species
AACGAACGCUGGCGGCGUGCUUAACACAUGCAAGUCGAACGCGAAAGGGACUUCGGUCCUGAGUAAAGUGGCGCACGGGUGAGUAACGCGUAGAUAACCUGUCUUCGUGUCUGGAAUAAUACGCCGAAAGGGGUACUAAUACCGGAUAUUCUUGCUUUAUAUAAGUUUUGCAAGCAAAGGUGGCCUCUGACAUAAGCUACUGCAUGAAGAGGGGUCUGCGUACCAUUAGCUAGUAGGUGGGGUAAUGGCCUACCUAGGCGACGAUGGUUAGCGGGUCUGAGAGGAUGAUCCGCCACACUGGCACUGGAACACGGGCCAGACUCCUACGGGAGGCAGCAGUGAGGAAUAUUGCGCAAUGGGGGCAACCCUGACGCAGCGACGCCGCGUGAGUGAGGAAGGCCUUCGGGUCGUAAAGCUCUGUCAAAGGGAAAGAAGUGUGCAAUGGCUAAUACCUGUUGCAUUUGACGGUACCCUUAAAGGAAGCACCGGCUAACUCCGUGCCAGCCGCCGCCGUAACAC